GAACAAGCCCAGACACGUCUCUUCACGGAGCCCAAGGAAAACACUUUACCGGACUCAUCACUCAUAUGGGAUGGCCCUGUAAAUUGUGCAGCACUGUUGUGCCAACCAAGAGUGAUUUUUAAAGCAUUACAGACUGCACCAUGGGACCUUUGGACACAGCCAUGCCUUGCCUUGCAUUCAUAUAGGUUGCCCAUGCUCUUUUAAAUGCUGGAGUUCCCUUCGCUCUCGUCUGUCAAGAUACCACCCAGAAGUCAAAUUCCUCAACUCACCUCAAGUAAGUCCUUCAUUCACCUGCCCUCUGUGUAAAAGGACUGUGCCAGGAGCAUCAAUGAUAUGAUGGCCAGAACGUAUACAGUUGGAGAAGACAGGAAGUUGUUGCCAAGUCUCCUGCUGGGGUGGCAGAAUUUAAAGAAAGAUGGCCUGCCCUCUUCGAACCAUUCCAGAUUAAUGAAGAGUUCCGAAGGUGCACUGCUGUUCCACUGGAAUCAACAUUUAUGUCUCAGCUGGACAGGUACACUCCGAAACUCCUGGAGCUCUUCAGUGCAAAAGGUGGCGUGACUGGUCAGCGCAUCAAGAACUUGUUGAUGGAACUGAUACAGGACCCAAGUGCCUCUGCAGUGAUGAAGAGAGAUGUGACUCUGUGAUGCUGUGGAACUGCAGAGACCACUGUUCAUGAGGACCUGGAAAUGAAGAAUAUGAGCAUCUACAUCUGUUGUGAGCCAAAUGUAGUAGGAAUCAUCAUUGAGGGAGUACCAGUCCUUACUCAUCUUGGAAACCUGGCCAAAGCAUGCUGCCUACUUCUGGGGUUGACGUAUGCACUUAAUCUUGAGUAUCCAUCCAAACUUUCCAAAACAUUUGAGGUGUUUCAAAGACUUUUUCCGGGACUCGACACACAUGCGCCCAAAACCAACCCCCAAAUUCAUGACUCUCAAAAACAAGCUUCUAGCUUAGGCAGUGAGCCAUGACUGUCAGCUUGCACGUUUGAACAGCUAUUUUCUUGUGUCUGCUCAAAAUCAUUAUACAUUGUUCAUUGAGUGGAAUUCUUCAGAAUGUUGUAACGGUUUGUCCUGUCCAGGUUUUAUACAAAGCUCCAGGUCAUCGUUUCUGGUAUGUAAAUUAAGUUUUUUUUAAUGUUUUAUACACUAAAUUGCCCCACUGUGAAGCUCCAGCUGGUCAGAAGGAGGGAUGUUUUUUACAUUGAUUUUUUUCAAUUUGUUGGCUUUUUCUGUAAACGCAACUUAAUCUUUUUGCAUAAAUCGAAAUGCAUAUUAUUAAGUUCUACUUACUCAAAAUACCAAUUAGUUGACUAAACUAACAAAAAUUGCUUGGAAAAUGUUGCCUUAUUUUUAUUGAGUUAGAUCUAAGCAACAGUUUUUACAGUGUACAACAUAUCUCACCUUGCAUGUUAUAUGUUAAUAUAUCAUGGUACUAAAUGUUAAAAAUCUCCACAUGAUUUACACAAAGUUGCCAAAAGUAUUUGGCCACCCAUCCAAAUGAUGACCAUCAGGUGUCCUAAUCACCAAGCACUUAGGCAUGGAGACUGUUUCUACAAACAUUUGUGGAAGAAUGGGCCGCUCUCAGUGAUUUCCAGCGUGGAACUGUCAUAGGAUGCCACCUGUGCAACAAAUCAAGUCGUGAAAUUUCCUCGCUCCUAAAUAUUCCAAAGUCAACUGUCGGCUUUAUUAUAAGAAAAGGGAAGAGUUUGGGAACAACAGCAACUCAGCCAUGAAGUGGUAGGCCACGUAAAAUGACAGAGAGGGGUCAGCAUAUUGCAAAUACUUUCUGCACAGUCAGUUGCUACAGAGCUCCAAACUUCAUGUGACCUUCCAAUUAGCCCACGCACAGUACGCAGAGAGCUUCAUGGAAUGGGUUUCUAUGGCCGAGCAGCUUUAUCUAAGCCAUACAUCAACAAGUCCAAUGCAAAACGUCGGAUGCAGUGGUGUAAAACAUGUCGCCACUGGACUCUAGAGCAGUGGAGACGCGUUCUCUGGACUGAUGAAUCACGCUUUUCCAUCUGGCAAUCUGAUGGACCAGUCUGGGUUUGGAGGUUGCCAGGAGAACGCUACAUUUCGGACUGCAUUGUGCCGAGUGUGACAUUUGGUGGAGGAGGAAUUAUGGUAACGGGUUGUUUUUCAGGAGUUGGGCUUGGCCCAUUAGUUCCAGUGAAAAGAGCUUUGAAUGCUCCAGAAUACCAAAGCAUUUUGGACAAUUCCAUGCUCCCAACCUUGUGGGAACACUUUGGAGCGAGCCCCUUCCCUUUCCAACAUGACCGUGCAACAGUGCACAAAGCAAGGUCCAUAAAGACAUGGAUGACAGAGUCUGGUGUGGAUGAACUUGACUGGCCUGCACAGAGUCCUGAUCUGAACCCGAUAGAACACCUUUGGGAUGAAUUAGAACGGAGAAUGAGAGCCAGGCCUUCUCGACCAACAUCAGUGUGUGACCUCACCAAUGCACUUUUGGAAGAAUGGUGGACAAUUCCUAUAAACACACUCCGCAACCUUGUGGACAGCCUUCCCAGAAGAGUUGAAUCUGUAAUAGCUGCAAAAGGUAUACUGACAUCAUAUUGAACCCUAUGAGUUAGGAAUGGGAUGGCACUUCAAGGUCAUGUGUGAGUCAAACUAAACAAAAUUGAUGCUAAUCCACCUUUUGGUUUUUUUUAAAGAACCAAAUCUUUAAGCAGAAUCAAAAGCGAAAUUGGAAAAAUCUUAUUAGUUCCCAUCCCUAGACUUCACUAAAACAUCCCUCAGUAGAUGUUUUUUGUUUGUUUGUUUUUUUGUUAGUUUUAUUUGACCAAGUACUGAAAACGUUCUCGCCCACAUUGAGAAAUGUAACCUUGAGAAGCGAGAGGUGAGGAUCAUUCCAAAGAAACGCUUGGUUAUUUCUCUUAUUUUGAAAGGAUGCUGACAAAGCCAACUGAGUUAUGCAGGUGAGGGAAGGCACAUUCACGCGCGUUAAAGCCUCAAAGCUCUGCACUGGGUUGAACUGCAAAGACCCUUCACUUUCCUCGCUUUGUGCCAUGAAUACAUUUUGUGUGCGAGAGGGGAACAGAAGUUGAAUAGAGAAGUGCUCUGCCUGUUUUUAUACCACACAUAAUAAUAUCCUCUUUUUAUUGAAGUAAAUAGGAUUUUUAUUUUGUUACAGCGCCAACGCACUUGUGUUGGGUUUCACUUUGUGCUUUUGUCGGCUUUAAUGAUUUCUGGACAUACUCAGAACUUUAUUAAAAAACGCUCAUCCUCAUUUUUGGGCGGUGGAUAAAAAACUGGUUGAAUAUUUCAAACAUUAGAGGAGUAGUUCUCAAAUAGUGGAAGGGUGAGGAUUUAAGUGUUGAGAUGAAUCCUAAUUCACAUCUUUAGCCCUGGUCUUAAACCAAUUGUAGUCCCGACCACGCAUCUUGAACAAGAUGGCUGAGCUGAAAGCACAUAAAUGAAAGUAAUUACCGUAUUUUUCGGACUAUAAGGUGGACUUAAAAUCCUUUCAUUUUCCUUAUAACCCGGUGUGCCUAAUGUAAGGAAUAAUUUUGGUUGUGCUUACCCACCUCGAAGCUAUUUUAUUUGGUACAAUGUGAAAUGAUAAGUGUGAACAGUAGAUGGCAGUCACACAUAAGAGAUACGGGUAGACUGCAAUACGAUGGCAGUCACACAUACGAGAUAUGUGUAGACUGCAAUAUGAUGGUAGUCACACAUAGGAGAUACGUGUAGACUGCAAUAUGAUGGCAGUCACACAAGAGAUACAUGUAGGCUGCAAUAUGAUGGCAGUCACACAUAAGAGAUAUGUGUAGACUGCAAUAUGAUGUACCGUCACACAUAAGGGAUACGUGCAGACUGCAAUAUGACGGCAGUCACACGUAAAAUAUUCGUUUAGACUUCAAUGUGACGGCAGUCACACAUAAGAGAUACGUGUAGACGGUAAUAUGAUGGCAGUCACACCUACGAGAUAUGUGUAGACUGCAUUAAGAUGGCAGUCACACAUAAGAGAUUUGUUUAGACUGCAAUAUGACGGCAGUCACACAUACGAGAUAUGUGUAGACCAGGGGUCACCAACCUUUUUGAAACCAAGGGCUACUUCUUGGGUACUGAUUAAUGCGAAGGGCUACCAGUUGGAUACACACUUAAAUAAAUUGCCAGAAGACGCCAA